GACGAACGCUGGCGGCGUGCCUAAUACAUGCAAGUCGAACGAGAGCGACCGGUGCUUGCACUGGUCAAUCUAGUGGCGAACGGGUGAGUAACACGUGGGUAACCUGCCCAUCAGAGGGGGAUAACAUCCGGAAACGGAUGCUAAAACCGCAUAGGUCUUCGAGCCGCAUGGCUUGAAGAGGAAAAGAGGCGCAAGCUUCUGCUGAUGGAUGGACCCGCGGUGCAUUAGCUAGUUGGUGAGGUAACGGCUCACCAAGGCCGUGAUGCAUAGCCGACCUGAGAGGGUGAUCGGCCACAUUGGGACUGAGACACGGCCCAAACUCCUACGGGAGGCAGCAGUAGGGAAUCUUCCGCAAUGGACGCAAGUCUGACGGAGCAACGCCGCGUGAGUGAAGAAGGUUUUCAGAUCGUAAAACUCUGUUGUUAGAGAAGAACAAGUGCUAGAGUAACUGUUAGCGCCUUGACGGUAUCUAACCAGAAAGCCACGGCUAACUACGUG
rnacentral:rRNA from 1 species